rnacentral:rRNA from 1 species
UACGUAGGGCGCAAGCGUUGUCCGGAAUUAUUGGGCGUAAAGAGCUCGUAGGCGGCUUGUCGCGUCGAGUGUGAAAGCCCGGGGCUUAACUCCGGGUCUGCAUUCGAUACGGGCAGGCUAGAGGCAGGUAGGGGAGAAUGGAAUUCCCGGUGUAGCGGUGAAAUGCGCAGAUAUCGGGAGGAACACCGGUGGCGAAGGCGGUUCUCUGGGCCUUACCUGACGCUGAGGAGCGAAAGCGUGGGGAGCGAACAGG